AAUCAACGCUGGCGGCGUGCCUCAGACAUGCAAGUCGAACGAUUAAACUUUCCUUCGGGAAAGAUAUAAAGUGGCGCACGGGUGAGUAACACGUAAGUAAUCUACCUUUGAGUGGGGAAUAACGUUCGGAAACGGACGCUAAUACCGCAUAAUGCAGCGGCAUCGCAAGAUGACAGUUGUUAAAGAUUUAUCGCUUGAAGGAGGA
rnacentral:rRNA from 1 species